CGGAAGAAGAAAACACAAGAAGUCCAUUCAUGACAGUUUAACCUAUUGGACCUCAUUCUUUAGCUGGGCCUGAAUGGACUUCGCUUUCGAUUUAUAAUUUCGUAGCACACGGAAGAUUGGGCCGUGUGCAUCGAAACACGCAGAUCACUGGUCCGGAUUCGGGAGGCAGGAGGUCUUUCACCAGACGGUCCUGCGUCGCAAGGGAGAUUAGAGAAUGUCCAAUCUGGGCUUCUAAACCAAUGGCCGACACUGAACCUCCGUUCUGCCCUUGCACAGCACCGCGUUAUUUCGUCUCCUCAGUCUUGCUACCGGCCACAAAAACCAUCAAUCUUCGUCUCUCGCUAAUCAGUGCCUUCGGCUAACCGUAACGUCCAUCACCUGCCACGCGACCUCAGAUUGUCCAAUGCCCCAAUACGGUCUGAUCUCGACAAAGGCGGUGGCAGCGACUUGGAUCCCAAUGUAAGGAAGAGCCAAAACCAGAUGAAGCGUGAGGCUAGGCUCGCCAUCCGUCGGGGCAUGGAACUCCCAUCCUUUUUUACUAUUCGAAUCAAACGUACUCUCAGGUGCCCCCGCCAAUAUCCCUUGAUGCGGAAACAGCCCUAUAUACAUUGUUUUAUUUCCAAUUCCGAAAUUAACUUGAGCUCCAAAUUGACGUUGGUAAAUGCCUAGUAGCUUCCCUUGUCGAAGAGGCAUUCGAAGCUCUAAUGCCAAUGAAGAUAAACUACGACAGGAUGUGCAACGUGAGUUAUGGAUCAUGGCUUGAUUCAGGACAAAAGAUGGUGACCAGAGGAGGCUGCUGGCUUUGUCCGUUUCAAUGGUUAGGGGAGAGGAUGAUCAUGAAGAAGCAGAAGAAAGUCAGUAUAGUUGCUAGAGUAUCAUAUUUUGUAUCAUAUUUUAUCAAACUUACUGAGCUUCGGGAGAUAUUAAUUAGUUUCUUGCAGUCAUGUUCCAACUUACUUUUUGGGUAUUGUUUCCAGGGAUCUGAUCAUAAAGACAUUAACAUAACAACCAGAUGGCUUGAAGGUCUGUUCAAUAAGGACAUUACAAUCAA